AACACUGAUGAAAACAAAAUGUCAUGCUGUGUACUCCGGAAAGUGAGAGAUUUUAGCAAUGUUUCUCGACAGUCCCUCUGUAGACAACUUUGCACAAGUGUUGCAAAACAAGAAGAUGCAAAAAACAAUGCUUUGGACUGUCCAAAAAGAAAUUCUGACAUCAGAACAAUGAGAAAUCAAAUGUUCUUAGAGGAGAAGAAGAGACAGUUGUCUCUGAUUCGAAGAGUUGAGAAGAUUAAAGUGGAAUACACUGGGAUACCAGAGGAUUGUACACUUCAGAUGAACAAAGAUCUUUCUACUCCUUAUAACUGUGCCAUGCACAUGAAAUCGAACAUCAAGACAUUGGCAGCCUUGGCUUUGGUGAAUGGAGAAGUUUGGGACAUGCAUCGACCUUUGGAGUCGGACUGUUCUUUAGAGUUCCUUAGAUUUAGAGACAGUGAACCAGCACAAUUAAACAGGGUAAUAUCAGCUGAGGCAUAAAGUAAUUUAACUCAAUUAAACUUACUCAGAAACUAGUUCAAACUACUGUACUAAGACAGUUUUCACCAGAGAUGAUACUCAAAUAGAUAUCAUUUUAAUUAGGAGGGGGCAUAGCUUAUGACGGGAAAAGACUUUUUUAAAGAAAUUGAAUAUACAUGUAACUACCACAGUCAAUGUUUCUAAUUUUUCCUUACAAAAGAGGUAUGCAGCUUUGUCCUGAAGAUCAGGUGUUUUGUCUACUCGUAAACUCAAAUUGUGCAUUCAAUCUCCCUUGCACUCUUUGUGAUAAGUCAUCACAGCACAUUUUCAUCUUACAUGAUUCAAAGUAGGGAGUACAUAACUUUAAAAAAAAAGAGUGUUUUUUUAUCUUUCUUUUUGAUUAAAAAUCUCAGACCCAGGUAAUAGUACCAUACUGUGUUAUUAAAUCAUUUUCUUUUGACCAAAUACAGGCAUGCUGGAGAACAGGAUCAUUUAUACUUGGGUACAUAUUUGAUCGUGCCCUGAAAGAUGAAAACAGAGUUGAUAUUAUACGUUUUCCUAGUAACCCAGUCGUGGAGGAUGGAUACUUCUGUUGUGACUUUGACCUGGGCUCUUUGAACUCAUGGCAGCCUCUACAGGAAGAGCUGACUGCAUUGUCAAUUGUUGGAACAAAAUUAAUCAAAGAAUCGGCCACAUUUGAGAGGUUGGAUGUGGACCAGGAAUUAGCGUUAGAAAUGUUUAAAGACAAUAAAUACAAGUGUCAGCAGAUACCAGACGUUGCCAAGUCCUCCGUGACAGGGUCACAUGUCACCCUGUACAAGGUGAAUGAUUACGUGGACGUCACCACUGGACCUCUCCUGGAAAGCACCUACCAUCUGUUUCAGUUCACUGUUACAAAGAUGUUUCCUAUGACAUGUCCUGAAAAUAGCAAAUUUGUCAGAGUGCAGGGAAUUGCCAUGCCACGGGCACUGCAGAUUCAUUACAAGGCUUAUGAAUUGCUGACUGAAAGGGCAAAACGAAUUGGACUUCAAGAUCCUUACAGAGAAUCUGUCCAAACUUCUGAAUAAAUUAUGUACUCAUAUGAUAUAUCUUAUAAUAAAAUAUCUAUUGCAU
rnacentral:misc_RNA from 1 species